rnacentral:lncRNA from 1 species
AUGCGCUCCCACCCGAGCCUCAGUUUCCCAGACUGUGACGCCAGCCAGGGGCACCGAUGCCCGACUCUGGACUUCCUGCUGCAGAGGACGUGGCCCGGCUCCCUGUUCUGGUCUGCUGGGCUCGAGGGGGCCCCCAGCCACUGCUGCACAGGUGACCAGAUGGAUGGACAGAUCCUGGCUCACCUGGGAAACCCUAGAACCGGUGCACUCACGUAUAAGGUCCCGUGGGACCCUCUGGCUGGGUUAAAGCCCAAACCUGGGGGCUUCCCCGGGGACCCUGGUGGGCCUAGUGUCCCCUCAGGGGGCAGCUGCCUGCAGGGCCACGGGGGUCCCAUGGGAGAGGCACGUGGGGGUGUUGUAUGGGGGCCCCUGCUCUUCUGGGGGGGCUGGCCCCCUUCUUCUCCCUGGUGGACGGACGGAGGACACCAGGACAGCGUCCGGAGCAAGCUGCUGGCUAGGCAUCUGUCACCAGGGCGCAAGCUCCAGCUCACCUACGUCAGAGUGUCCGCCCGGUCCCUGACCACCCAGCCCUGGCCUGGCUCUUCCCUGGGGCCAGUGGACCACUGGCCGCACCCCGCCGUGAGCCAUCAGCCCUCAGGGCACCGGGUGGGGGUGGUCCCUGGGGUCGUCGCCCGCUGGGGAGGGGCUGGGGCUGGGUCUAGAGCACAGGGCUCGGGAUGGGCCCGUCCUGGCCGGGCCCAGGCAAGGGCUGCAGGUCCCCAGGGAGCAGUCCCUCGAAGCAGGGCUCAAAUCAAUCCAAACCGUGGCUCUGGUCGCCGUCCAGGCACUCAGCCCGCGUUCCAGGGAGCUGGAUCAAUGCUGAGGUCCCUGGAGCCGGGGAAGAGCAUGGCCAGGAGUGGCGGGGGGGGGGGGCUCCCCUUGCCCUCACCACUGUCUGCCCGCCCCACGGGGAUGUUGCAGGUGCUCACGGCUAGAGAGGGGCCCAGCCGGGGCAGAGGUGUGUGGGGCUCAGGGCCCGUCUGGACCAGUUGACCCCCGUCCCCUCCUCCACAGGACGCCUGUCUUGAGCCCCUCUGCCCCCCAGCCCUCUCGCCCUCUCUGGGACCCCAGCCUGUCUCCCCGCUCAUGCUGGGGGAGUCCCCUCCAUGCCCCAGGGGCCUGGAUCCCCGCAGAAGCACAGGCCUGGGCGCGACAGGGAACUCACCAGAGGUGCUGAACAGGUGGUACGCUCACCAGCUCAGGAACAUGCAGUUGGCCCCGGGGGGCCCCGGCACGAGGGGGUGGUGGGGACGGCGGCCCAGACACCAGCCCCUCGCUGGCCGGCCUUCUGCCUCUGGACGGUCCCACCUGGCCACCUGGAUGUGGACGUGGACAGAGAGGCCCGGGGGGGACGCGGAGCUCCAGACUCUGCCCGGGACCCAAGGGGCAGCCUGCCAGCAGGGAAGCAGGACCCCUGCCAGCUCUCGUUCAUGGGGACCAUCGGGCAUUGAUAGCCCCCCGAAGGUCAGAGGGCUACCAUGAAGCUCAGGGUGGGCGCCCUCUGGCUCGGUCCUCACCCACCUCCUCCCCCAGAUGGGUCCUGGGCGUCUGUGAGUCAUGGCACAUGUGGCCCAAUCCCAAAAUAAAAUAUUUGGAUUCGAGGACUGAUGGCCUUGAAAUGCAAAUAUUGCUUCUCUGUUUCCAACGGUCGCAUUCGGGCCUCCUGGAGCCCGGACAGCUCCUGGCUGAGAUGCCCAGUGCCCACGGCCCCUGAGGGGAGCCAGGCGGGGCGGCUCUUUGCACCCCUGGGUUCAUCCAGGGAGUGGGUGCGGGAGACGGAGGUUGAUCGGGAGGCACCCCGAAGUCCGUACCCUAGGCUCUCGGGGGGUGCCCACCAUGGCCGGGUCCCCGGGCAUACUGGCCCACCUCUGCGAGGCCUGUUGGCCGGGCGGUCCUGCACCCCGAGGCCCCUCCCCACGGCUGUACAGGGGUGCUGGACGCGGUGGGCAGGCUGCGGGGACCCCAGGGCCUGGAUGCGAGGGAGAGGCGGGAGGCAGGGACCCGAGGGCCCAGCAGCCCUCUUGAGGCUGCCAGGUGGCCUCCCGUUGCCGAUUCUCUAAGGCCUUCCUGGGGAGCUGUGUGUUCUGCGGCCCGGUCCCCCGACCCUGGGGAGCAGGGGCUCAGUUGGUGAGGGCAGCCAUUGUCACAGGAGGGCCGCCCGGAGCUGGGGUGCAGCUGGGAUAGCCCUGGGCCGUGGGCUGCAGGGCCCUGAGGACACCCGGGCAUGUGUCCCUGACACGGAGGGUGGGGGGUGCUCUCCAGGCUCACCUUCUCUGGAGGCGAGGGCGGAUGGGGCGCUCGGGCUGGGGGGCACGCAGGGCUCUGUGGCCAGCCUGCUUCCAGACA